CAGAGAAACUAAACUGAAUGGAUUUAUAAUUGUUUAUCACUAAAUAAAUUCACUGUUUUUGUCAAAUCUCACCUAAAUGGUUUGGGGAUUUGAGAAGAUGUUUUUCUACAAAUAUAAUGUGAUUUCUGGUCUUUUCAUCAGGAAGAGAUAAAAAAAACUUGUGGUCAGAGUGAGUUGAACUGCCACUUCCCCUUCACUCCUGUAGCUCUAAAUUUCUUCUUGUCUGAAGCUUCCUUACUGACAAUUUACAGUUUGUGACCAGAGAUCAAGUUUCAUCAUGAAGAUCCUCCACAUUCACUUCUAUCUACUUGUGUGCUGUGGAGCUGCAGAAAGUUUCACAGAGAAGUCGGUAGAUUUGGGACAAAAUGUGACUCUAAAGUGUGAGGUGUCUGUAAUAGAUGUGCACUGGUUCCUGAUGAAGCCGUCAAAACCUCCACUGUUUAUAUUACGCUCUUUCUCAAGUAUUAUCCUGGUGCCAGAAUACAGUAACCCGGCUUUCAGCAAGAGAUUCUCACUGCAAUAUAACAGCAGUUUAUUUAUACACAAUAUCAGUACUAAUGAAUUAGGAGUGUAUUAUUGUAUUCAGACUCAAACUGGUUCACCUCCGACAUCAGCAGUGGAAUCAGACUUUACACCCAGAAUCACUCAGCUGUGAAUCAGACAUGGAAGAUUGAAGUGCUUCAGAAUCAGACAGCUGGUAAAGAUGAAGAGAUCAGACUCUGGAGAAAUCUCUUCAUUAUAUCGGGAAUGAUGAACUGUGUUGUGGUCGUUGCAGUCACAGUCUCGAUCGUAAGCUGCUGUGGAAAAACCAAAUCUCCAAACUGUGAUGUGAAGCUUCAAGAAGUCAGUGGAUCACAGAGUUGGUUACCAAAAGCGCAUAAUGAAAGCAGCUACACUGUGGUGGAGUUUAUUCCGUUUCACACUGUGAUGUAGCACACACACACACACACACACACACACACACACACACACACACACACAUUGGUCAUUGUAUUUUUUUUCCAUAAGCUGUGCUACAUGAUUGCGGUUAUAGUCUGCACGCUAACGCUAUAACUGCCGAUUGCGGUUAUAGUCUGCACGCUAACGCUUCUCACACACGUCUAAGGUGUACAGCUCCAUCUUCCGCUUCUCAUUCUCAGAGUGUGACCUUCUGCAGUAAAAUUCUCACACGAGUUUUUCUCUACAUGAUCAAACUAAACCUCUGUCCAUGUUUCUCAUAUGUAGCUGCUGCUGCUGAUAGUGUAAUGUUUCAGAAGGGAAGAUGGCUGGAGCUUUACUGCACAUCUUCUCUUGCUGUCUUUGUAAGUGUUUAACACCAGGCCAUAAUGCCAUUGCAGAUCAAAUGUUUACUGAAUGAAGCGUGUGUUCUUUCAAGCAAAGGCUCACUUUCAAACCUGUACCUGUGUCACUGUGUCUUAUUUUAUUCUUCUGUAAGGAAUAACACACUCUGUGUGCUGCUGUUAUAGGGAAUUAAUCAGUGAUGGGCUGCUGUGAUGAAGCUUGUAAACACACACACAUUCACACACUCAUUCACAUCUAGGCCCAGUUUAUCUCAGCCAGUUCACCUACAGACAUGUUUUUCCACUCGUCCUCUAGUCUGUGAACAGAGGCAGAAAAAAGAAAAGAACGCAGGAGUGUGUGUAUAAAACAGUGUAGCAGUGACUCCCCUGGUGUGUGUGGACUGGACUAAUAAAAGAUUUAAAAAAGAAAAAAGACUGAGUGUGUGUUGUUCCACUAGGGGGCAAACUGGAGCAAUAAACUCAGGGCUGUAAACUCAGCUACUGACAGAAUGUGCUAAUGAUGUAAUCCUUCAUUAACAAACUAAACAUUUAACCCUGUAACUGUGUCUCUUUCUAAAAGAACUAAAUUAAGGGUUUCACAGCAACCAGACACCAUAAAGCCAUCAUUUAGUAAUGAACUGCAGUGUGUUCAUGUGUUGAGUAGGAGAUAGAGUGUGUUCAGCUCAGUGUGUGGAUUCAGAAUGUAUCUCUCAGAUAAAUGCAGAUAAAUGAACACAUUUAAGAGGAGCUGUUGAUGUCUUAUUGCUCAGUAAAGUGUUUUUUUUUUGUCCAGCCCACUCGACAUUAGACUAAGUGUAACGUGAGCCGUUACCUAAAACGAGUUCGACACCCCGACCCUAACCAAUCCCCUAUACCAGAGAAACUAAACUGAAUGGAUUUAUAAUUGUUUAUCACUAAAUAAAUUCACUGUUUUUGUGAAAUCUCACCUAAAUGGUUUGGGGAUUUGAGAAGAUGUUUUUCUACAAAUAUAAUGUGAUUUCUGGUCUUUUCAUCAGGAAGAGAUAAAAAAAACUUGUGGUCAGAGUGAGUUGAACUGCCACUUCCCCUUCACUCCUGUAGCUCUAAAUUUCUUCUUGUCUGAAGCUUCCUUACUGACAAUUUACAGUUUGUGACCAGAGAUCAAGUUUCAUCAUGAAGAUCCUCCACAUUCACUUCUGUAAGUUUAUUUCCUUUAGCUAAAUCACUGAUCAUAUUUAAUGAAUACAUUCCUGAUUCAUGCAUUUGUGUAUUACUUCUUAAUGAAGAGCGAAUUACCACAAGUCAGGGUUUUUUUUAUUUUAUUUAUUUAAUUUUUUAUAUUUUUUGCUAGACCUACUUGUGUGCUGUGGAGCUGCAGAAAGUUUCACAGAGAAGUCGGUAGAUUUGGGAAAAAAUGUGACUCUAAAGUGUGAUGUGUCUGUAAAAAAUGUGCUCUGGUUCCUGAUGAAGCCGUCAGAACCUCCACUGUUUAUAUUACGCUCUUUCUCAAGUAAAAGCCUGGUGCCAGGAUACAGUAACACGACCUUCAAC